AAGUCGUAACAAGGUUUCCGUAGGUGAACCUGCGGAAGGAUCAUUAACAAAUCUGAGGGUCUGGUCUGCCGUAGGGGUAGGCCAGGCCUAUCUUUGCGCGUGUUUUGUGUGACUGGUUAUAAAAAGGAUAAUUUUGGAUUGGGAGACAACUUUUAACAAUGGAUCUCUUGGCUCUU
rnacentral:misc_RNA from 1 species